rnacentral:RNase_P_RNA from 1 species
CCAGUUGGCCGGGCAGCCGCGCCUUGCAAGGGUCGAAAGGCCGCAGGGUGAGGAAAGUCCGGGCUCCACGGAAACACGGUGCCGGAUAACGUCCGGCGGGGGUGACCCCAGGGAAAGUGCCACAGAAAGCAAACCGCCUUCCUUGGAAGGUAAGGGUGAAAGGGUGGGGUAAGAGCCCACCGCGGUCCUGGCGACAGGGCCGGCACGGUAAACCCCACCGGGAGCAAAACCGAAUAGGGAUGACGCGGGCCGCGCAAGCGGUCCAGCCUGUUUCCGGGCCGGUCAUCCGGGUGGGUUGCAAGAGGCCGGGCGCAAGUCCGGUCCCAGAUGAAUGGCUGCCACGUUCCGGCGAAAGCCAGAGCCAUACAGAACCCGGCUUACAGGCCAACUGGCAAA